rnacentral:rRNA from 1 species
GACGAACGCUGGCGGCGUGCUUAACACAUGCGAGUCGAACGGAAAGGCCCUGCUUUUGUGGGGUGCUCGAGUGGCGAACGGGUGAGUAACACGUGAGUAACCUGCCCUUGACUUUGGGAUAACUCCAGGAAACUGGGGCUAAUACCGGAUAGGAGCUCCUGCUGCAUGGGGGGGGUUGGAAAGUGUCGGCGGUUGGGGAUGGACUCGGGGCUUAUCAGCUUGUUGGUGGGGUAGUGGCUUACCACGGCUUUGACGGGUAGCCGGCCUGAGAGGGUGACCGGCCACAUUGGGACUGAGAUACGGCCCAGACUCCUACGGGAGGCAGCAGUGGGGAAUAUUGCACAAUGGGCGGAAGCCUGAUGCAGCAACGCCGCGUGCGGGAUGACGGCCUUCGGGUUGUAAACCGCUUUCGCCUGUGACGAAGCGUGAGUGACGGUAAUGGGUAAAGAAGCACCGGCUAACUACGUG